UACGGGGGGGGCAAGCGUUGUUCGGAAUUACUGGGCGUAAAGGGCUCGUAGGCGGCCAACUAAGUCCGACGUGAAAUCCCCAGGCUUAACCUGGGAACUGCGUCGGAUACUGGAUGGCUUGAAUCCGGGAGAGGGAUGCGGAAUUCCAGGUGUAGCGGUGAAAUGCGUUGAUAUCGAUAGGAACUCCGGUGGCGAAGGCGGCAUACUGGACCACAUCUGACGCUGAGGCGCGAAAGCCAGGGGAGCAAACGGG
rnacentral:rRNA from 1 species